UCCUGAUGUACGGAGAUGAAGAUUGAGACACUUAUGCACCAUAUGGGAAUCUUUAUUUAGGAAACGUUUCGCCACACAGUGGCUUCAUCAGUCCAAUACAAAGCAGAAAGGCGCAAGAAGAGGAGGAAUUUGAGGUAAUCAGUCCCUCAGCCUGGAGUCAAUGUGUUCAGUCCAUCAAUCUUGUAGAAUGUACAGCAUAGAUUGAUGGACUGAAGCCGGGCCCGAUACUACGUUAGCUGUCAGUGGCCCUUACAAACCCAACAAGACCACUACAACUUGCGCUAUCAAGUGAAGAAACAUCUAAAGGACUUCUGCUCCAGCCUUCGUCGGGUGUGGACGUCUCUCUCGCACCUGUGUAUCAGUCCUUGGACAGCAAAUCUUCCUCGUCCCAUCGAGAAACCGGGCUUAAUACGGCUUAUACUGUCAGCGGCCCUGAUAAACCCAACAAAGAAAGAAAGAACCUGUAAAGACUGCAAGAGACCAACCUGUGAGAGCAUCAAUUUGGCCAUCAUCAGCCAAAUCAUCCCUAAAUACCAGGUUACGCCUGCACCACAUCGCCAUCACAUAGACAACCAAAGUUCCACUUGUCUGGGGCCUGUAUACUAGAUGACUUCUGAUCACCACACACACCUCUAGAACUCCAGUGACCUGAGAGGGUCGCCAGUGAGAGGUGAGGUGCGCCGGUUGCUGAGAUUUGGCGUGCAGCGACCAUAGAGUUUCAUAUGUUAAAAUGGGGGGGGGGAGGUUUAUCUCAUGAAUAAGUUAUUGACAUUUGUAGCCACAAUUAUUGAUAACUACUGGAUGGAUUGUCAUGAUUUUUUGGACAGCUUAUUGAAGAAUGAUGGUUCUGCAGAAAUACACUAAGGAAUUGUGAUAUUCCUUACCGUUACCUUACCUUACCUCUCACAUUGAUAAACAUCUACAGAGUUCCACAGUAAAACAUUAGCCAAUUUAGUCAAAACCUAGGAAGUAUGAUAACUGAUGCACGCAUGAACAAAGAUCACUUACUACUCUCAGGUGACUUCAAUAUAAAUCUCCUGCAAGACCAGGACCCACACAUUACUGAAUUCACAAACACAAUGAGUAACUACAUGUUGCUACCAACAGUAACAAAACCUACAAGAGUUACGGAGACUAGUGUUUCCCUACUUGACCACAUCUGGACCAACACCAUAUCCCCUUUAAAAUCAGGCAUAAUUACAGAUAAUACCACAGACCACUACCCUACUUUCCUCAUAACUGAACAUUAAAAUGGUAUAAAAUACCGACAGGUUGUUAGGUAAGACACAUAUGCAACAGUUAGGUAUCUUUAUCCUCUUCAAGGGGGGGCUCCUUGGCGUGGUGAAGAGGCUCUUGGUCUGAGGAAUUAGACCUAUCGGUCUUCUUCCUCAGACCGAACCUAAUUACCCCCCAAUCUCCCCUCCCCUAUCCCAUCCUCCCCAUCCUCCCCUUUUUCCUUUCCUCCUCCUCCUCCCCAUCCCUCCCUUUUGCCCUUCCUCUUUUUGUCCUUUGGGAUUUCUCCCACAGGCGUGCUAGUUCCUAGGUAGGGGAAAGGAU